rnacentral:tRNA from 1 species
AAACUAUUUAGUUUAAAAAAAAUAUUAAUUUUGUAAAUUAAUGAUGAAUAAUUAUUUAAUAGUU